UUCCAACCAAAGAAGUUGGAGAAAUUGUUGAGGAAACAAGGGCUAAAUGGGAAUUCAUACAGAUUUUUGUAUGGGGACAUGAAAGAUUUUUCUAAGAUGAUUAAGGAAGCUAAUUCAAAGCCUAUGAAUAUGGAUGAUCAUGAUUUAGCACCAAGAAUGGUGCCUUUCUUUCUUGAAACCAUCAAGAAAUAUGGGAAAAAAUGUUUUACAUGGAUGGGUCCAAGACCACAAAUACUAAUCAUGGAUCCUGAGCUUAUAAAGGAAGUACUUUCGAAAACCUACGUGUAUCAAAAGCCUCAUGGAAAUCCGUUAGGCACGUUAUUUGUACAAGGAUUAGUAAGCUAUGAGAAAGAUAAAUGGGCCAAACAUAGAAAAAUCAUCAAUCCCGCGUUCCAUCUAGAGAAGUUAAAGCAUAUGCUUCCAGCUUUUUACUUGAGCUGUAGUGAGAUGCUGAGCAAAUGGGAAGACGUUGUUCGAGUUGAAGGCUCUCAUGAGAUAGAUGUAUGGCCUCACCUGCAGCAAUUGACUUGUGACGUGAUCUCUCGGACAGCUUUUGGCAGUAGUUAUGAAGAAGGUAGAAAGAUUUUUGAACUUCAAAAGGAACAAGCUCAGCAUUUUCUCGAAGUUAUACGCUCAGUUUAUAUCCCAGGAUGGAGAUUUUUACCAACAAAGAGGAACAGAAGAAUGAAGGAAUUAAAAAAUGAUGUUCGGUCUUCAAUUAGAGGUAUUAUUGAUAAAAGAUUGAAGGCAAUGGAAGCAGGGAACGCGGAUAAUGAGGAUCUAUUGGGCAUAUUGCUGGAAUCGAAUUUUAAAGAAAUUGAACUGCACGGUAACAAGGACUUUGGAAUGAGUAUCGAAGAAGUCAUUGAAGAAUGCAAGCUGUUCUAUUUUGCUGGUGCAGAAACUACAUCAGUGUGGAUUCUGUGGACGCUGGUGUUGUUGAGCAGACAUCCAGAUUGGCAGGAACGGGCCAGAGAAGAAGUAUUGCAAGUGCUUGGGAGUCGAAAACCAGAUUUUGAUGGAUUAAAUCAUCUAAAAGUUGUAACAAUGAUCUUGUACGAGUCGUUGAGGUUAUAUUCCCCAAUAACAGUACUUACGCGACGAGUUUAUGAAGACAUUACACUAGGAGAAGUAUCUCUACCAACUGGUGUGCUAGUCUCAUUGCCAAUGAUUUUAUUGCAUCAUGAUAAAGAUAUAUGGGGUGAAGAUGCAACCAAGUUCAAUCCAGAGAGAUUUAGUGAAGGAAUAUCAAGUGCAACAAAAGGUCAAGUUACAUAUUUUCCAUUUGCUUGGGGUCCAAGAAUAUGCAUUGGACAAAAUUUUGCCAUAUUAGAAGCAAAGAUGACUCUGUGUAUGAUCCUACAAAGCUUCUCUUUUGAAUUGUCUCCAUCCUACACACAUGCUCCUCAAUCCUUGGUAACCACUCAGCCUCAGUAUGGUGCUCCACUUAUUUUCCACAAACUAUAAUUUCACAAUCUCGUGAAGAGUUUAUUCAGACUCGAUUCAGUGAUGGAGUUACAAUAUCGAAAUACGGGUUCAGAAACAGUUUCUCUAUUUCAUAAAGACAGGGGAUUAUGUGUUGUACUCUCCACUCUCCCCUGACCCUCAUAUUGGGUAUGUUGUUUUUGUUAUUCGGACAAACUCAGUAGUUUUCGUUAAAAGCUUGCAUUUGUUUGAGCAAAUCCACUAAAAAUACUAUACAACAUCCGUGCUAGCACGAACUCAAUAUAUAUUGCUUUAUGUGAAAUAGUUGAAAUUUGG
rnacentral:misc_RNA from 1 species